UUUUGUAAUACGCUGAGUCCAAAUAUAUGGAGCGGAGGAACCAAUUUUGUGCAUCGUCACUUGGGGUGAAUCUUUCAGUUUUGAAAGUAGGGCUACUCUCAAAGCCCGAAUCCGACAGCUAACUUCGUAAGCGUCUUGAGAGAGGACGG
rnacentral:sRNA from 2 species